GACGAACGCUGGCGGCGUGCUUAACACAUGCAAGUCGAACGGAAAGGCCCUGCUUUUGUGGGGUGCUCGAGUGGCGAACGGGUGAGUAACACGUGAGUAACCUGCCCUUGACUUUGGGAUAACUUCAGGAAACUGGGGCUAAUACCGGAUAGGAGCUCCUGCUGCAUGGUGGGGGUUGGAAAUUCUCGGCGGUUGGGGAUGGACUCGCGGCUUAUCAGCUUGUUGGUGGGGUAGUGGCUUACCAAGGCUUUGACGGGUAGCCGGCCUGAGAGGGUGACCGGCGACAAUGGGACUGAGAGACGGACCAGACUCCUACAGGAGACAGCAGUGGGGAGUAUUGCACAGUGGGCGGAAGCCUGAUGCAGCAGCGCCGCGUGCGGGAUGACGGCCUUCGGGUUGUAAACCGCUUUCGCCUGUGACGAAGCGUGAGUGACGGUAAUGAGUAAAGAAGCACCGGCUAACUACGUG
rnacentral:rRNA from 1 species